UACGAAGGGGGCUAGCGUUGCUCGGAAUCACUGGGCGUAAAGGGUGCGUAGGCGGGUCUUUAAGUCAGGGGUGAAAUCCUGGAGCUCAACUCCAGAACUGCCUUUGAUACUGACGAUCUGGAGAUCGGGAGAGGUUGGUGGAAUUCCGAGUGUAGAGGUGAAAUGCGUAGAUAUCGGGAGGAACACCAGUGGCGAAGGCGACUACCUGGCCUGUUCUUGACGCUGAGGCGCGAAAGCGUGGGGAGCAAACAGGG
rnacentral:rRNA from 1 species